rnacentral:rRNA from 1 species
UACGGAGGAUGCAAGCGUCAUCCGGAUUUAUUGGGUUUAAAGGGUGCGCAGGUUGUUUGAUAAGUCAGUGGUGAAAGUCUGUCGCUUAACGGUAGGAUUGCCAUUGAUACUGUUAGACUUGAAUAUGGAUGAGGUAGGCGGAAUGUGUAGUGUAGCGGUGAAAUGCGCAGAUAUCAGGAGGAACACCGAUGGCGAAGGCAGGUCUCUGGGCCACUACUGACGCUGAGAAGCGAAAGCAUGGGGAGCGAA